rnacentral:rRNA from 1 species
GAUGAACGCUGGCGGCGUGCCUAAUACAUGCAAGUCGAGCGAACAGACGAGGAGCUUGCUCCUCUGACGUUAGCGGCGGACGGGUGAGUAACACGUGGAUAACCUACCUAUAAGACUGGGAUAACUUCGGGAAACCGGCGCUAAUACCGGAUAAUAUAUUGAACCGCAUGGUUCAAUAGUGAAAGACGGUUUUGCUGUCACUUCUAGAUGGAUCCGCGCCGCAUUAGCUAGUUGGUAAGGUAACGGCUUACCAAGGAAACGAUGCGUAGCCGACCUGAGAGGGUGAUCGGCCACACGGGAGCUGAGACACGGUCCAGACUCCUACGGGAGGCAGCAGUAGGGAAUCUUCCGCAAUGGGCGAAAGCUUGACGGAGCAACGCCGCGUGAGUGAUGAAGGUCUUCGGAUCGUAAAACUCUGUUAUUAGGGAAGAACAAAUGUGUAAGUAACUAUGCACGUCUUGACGGUACCGAAUCAGAAAGCCACGGCUAACUACGUG